rnacentral:rRNA from 1 species
CUACGGGUGGCAGCAGUAAGGAAUAUUGCGCAAUGGAGGCAACUCUGACGCAGCCAUGCCGCGUGCAGGAAGAAGGCCUUAUGGGUCGUAAACUGCUUUUAUUUAGGAAUAAACCCCCGAACGUGUUCGGGGCUGAAGGUACUAAACGAAUAAGCACCGGCUAACUCCGGGCCAGCAGCCGCGGUAAUACGGAGGGUGCAAGCGUUAUCCGGAUUUAUUGGGUUUAAAGGGUGCGCAGGCGGGCUAUUAAGUCAGUGGUGAAAUCCCGGGGCUCAACUCCGGAACUGCCAUUGAUACUGAUAGUCUUGAGUUUGGUUGAAGUGGGCGGAAUGUAGCAUGUAGCGGUGAAAUGCAUAGAUAUGCUACAGAACACCAAUCGCGAAGGCAGCUCGCUAAGCCAAAACUGACGCUCAUGCACGAAAGCGUGGGGAUCAAACAGGAUUAGAUACCCCCGUAGUC